UACGAAGGGUGCAAACGUUGCUCGGAAUUAUUGUGCGUAAAGCGCACGUAGGCGGCUUAGCAAGUCCCAUGUGAAAGCCCACGGCUCAACCGUGGAAGUGCAUGGGAAACUGCUGAGCUUGAGUACUUAAGAGGAUCGCGGAAUUCCCGGUGUAGAGGUGAAAUUCGUAGAUAUCGGAAGGAACACCGAUGGCGAAAGCAGCGUGCUGGACCUUUUCUGACGCUGAGGCGCGAAAGCCAGGGGAGCAAACGGG
rnacentral:rRNA from 1 species